UACGGAGGGUGCGAGCGUUGUCCGGAAUCAUUGGGCGUAAAGGGCGCGUAGGUGGCGGGACAAGCGUGCGGUGAAAGCUCGGGGCUCAACCCCGAGUCGGCCGUGCGAACUGUUUUGCUUGAGCACUGUAGAGGCAGGCGGAAUUCCGGGUGUAGCGGUGGAAUGCGUAGAGAUCCGGAAGAACACCGGUGGCGAAGGCGGCCUGCUGGGCAGUAGCUGACACUGAGGCGCGACAGUGUGGGGAGCGAACAGG
rnacentral:rRNA from 1 species